rnacentral:rRNA from 1 species
GAUGAACGCUAGCGGCAGGCUUAAUACAUGCAAGUCGUGGGGCAGCAGGACUGUAGCCAUACAGUUGCUGGCGACCGGCAAACGGCUGCGGACCACGUACGCAAUCGACCCAGAACUGGUGAAUAGCCCUCCGAAAGCAGGAUAAAUACACCGUAAUAUUAUAAAGUGGCAUCACUCAAUAAUUAAAGCUCCGGCGGGUUUCGAUGAGCGUGCGGCCCAUUCGGUAGUUGGUUGAGGUAAUGGCUCACCAAGCCCGCGAUGGGUAACUGGUGUGAGAGCACGACCAGUCACACGGGCACUGAGACACGGGCCCGACUCCUACGGGAGGCAGCAGUAAGGAAUAUUGGUCAAUGGACGCAAGUCUGAACCAGCCAUGCCGCGUGGAGGAUGAAGGCCCUCUGGGUUGUAAACUUCUUUUAUGGGGGACGAAAUCACUUAUUCUUAAGUGUCUGACGGUACCCCAGGAAUAAGCACCGGCUAACUUCGUGCCAGCCGCCGCCGUAA